rnacentral:rRNA from 1 species
AGCGAACGCUGGCGGCGUGCUUAACACAUGCAAGUCGAACGCGCAGUUCUCUGUAGCAAUACAGGGGAUGGGCGCGUGGCGAACGGGUGCGUAACACGUGGAUAACCUUCCUUCAGGUGGGGAAUAACCCAGUGAAGAUUGGGCUAAUACCGCAUAACAUGACGAUGGCACAUGCCGUUGUCUUCAAAGCCGCAAGGCGCCAGACGAGGGAUCCGCGGCCGAUUAGCUUGUGGCGAGGUAAUGGCUCACCAAGGCUUUGAUCGGUAGCCGGACUGAGAGGUUGGCCGGCCACACUGGAACUGAGACACGGUCCAGACUCCUACGGGAGGCAGCAGUGGGGAAUCUUGCGCAAUGGACGAAAGUCUGACGCAGCAACGCCGCGUGGGGGAUGAAGCUUCUCGGAGUGUAAACCCCUUUCGACCCGGACGAAUGCCCGCAAGGGUUUGACGGUACGGGUAUAAGAAGCCCCGGCUAACUACGUGCCAGCAGCCGCGGUAAAACGUAGGGGGCCAGCGUUGCUCGGAAUUACUGGGCGUAAAGGGUCCGUAGGCGGUGUGGCAAGUCGGAAGUGAAAUCUCUGGGCUUAACCCAGAGGCUGCUCCCGAAACUGCCA